GAAUAUUGGUCAAUGGGCGAGAGCCUGAACCAGCCAUGCCGCGUGUAGGAUGACGGCCUUCUGGGUUGUAAACUACUUUUCUACAGGAAGAAAAAGUCCAUGCGUGGACAAUUGACGGUACUGUAGGAAUAAGAAACGGCGAACUCCGUUCCAGCAGCCGCGGUAAUACGGCGGGUGCAAGCGUUGUCCGGAUUUAUUGGGUUUAAAGGGUGCGUAGGCGGCUCUUUAAGUCAGUGGUGAAAGCCCGCAGCUUAACUGCGGAACUGCCAUUGAUACUGGAGAGCUUGAGUACGGUUGAAGUAGGCGGAAUUUAUGGUGUAGCGGUGAAAUGCAUAGAUACCAUAAAGAACACCGAUAGCGUAGGCAGCUUACUAAGCCGUAACUGACGCUGAGGCACGAAAGCAUGGGGAGCGAACAGG
rnacentral:rRNA from 1 species